rnacentral:rRNA from 1 species
AGAGUUUGAUCAUGGCUCAGAUUGAACGCUGGCGGCAUGCCUUACACAUGCAAGUCGAACGGCAGCACGGGGGGCAACUCCUGGUGGCGAGUGGCGAACGGGUGAGUAAUAUAUCGGAACGUGUCCUGUAGCGGGGGAUAACCUAUCGAAAGAUGGACUAAUACCGCAUACGCUCUACGGAGGAAAGCGGGGGUUCUUGGGCAACUGAGGACCUCGCACUAUAGGAGCGGCCGAUAUCGGAUUAGCUAGUUGGCGGGGUAAAAGCCCACCAAGGCGACGAUCCGUAGCUGGUCUGAGAGGAUGAUCAGCCACACUGGAACUGAGACACGGUCCAGACUCCUACGGGAGGCAGCAGUGGGGAAUUUUGGACAAUGGGCGCAAGCCUGAUCCAGCCAUGCCGCGUGAGUGAAGAAGGCCUUCGGGUUGUAAAGCUCUUUCGGCAGGAACGAAAUGGUUCGUGCUAAUACCACGGACUUGAUGACCGUACCUGAAGAAGAAGCACCGGCUUAACUUCCUGCCAGCAGCCGCGGUA